AUAUUUAGUGGAGAGAGAAAGGGCCAGAUAUUUAAUGUGGAGUGGAGAGAGAGUGACACAUAAUUGACGAAAUUGGAUACAAAAGGUGGGAGAUCUGUUAACGGGUGAAGAAAACCUCCUUUCUUCUUCCUUCCAAAGCAAAUCAAUCCAAACCCAACCCAACCCUAGGCAAGAAAAAAUCUCUGUAUAUUUUUCCUUUCAUCUUAAUCAAAAUCUUAAAACAUGGGCACCGAAUACGAUUACCUUUUCAAGCUUCUCUUAAUCGGAGACUCAUCCGUCGGAAAGUCAUGUCUUCUUCUGAGAUUCGCAGAUGAUUCGUAUGUUGACAGUUACAUUAGUACAAUUGGUGUCGAUUUUAAAAUCAGAACCGUGGAGUUGGAUGGAAAGACUAUCAAGCUGCAAAUUGUGAGUAAUUUGAAUUC